rnacentral:tmRNA from 1 species
GGGGGUGACUUGGUUUCGACAGGUUCAUCUGAAGGCGCUCCGGCGUGUCGAGGUGCCGUUGGCCUCGUUAAAAAACGGCAAAACCUUUUAACUGGCAACGUUAAGUUCCAGCCUGUAACACUCGCCUUCGCUGCUUAAGUGAAGCCAGCCCCAGAAAGCCCCGCCUUUGGCGUUCUGGCAUCUGCAUAAAUAAAGGCUAGCCCCGGCGAUCCCUGUUAGCCGAAGGCGAACAUACAGCGGGGUAAGAACCGGAAAGCCUGCCCCUGGGCCAGUUCGGUUCCGACAAUCAGAAUGCGGGCUACACACGUAGAUGGACGCUGAACGGGGACUUGGACGAGAGUUCGAUUCUCUCCACCUCCACCA